UACGUAGGGUGCGAGCGUUAAUCGGAAUUACUGGGCGUAAAGCGUGCGCAGGCGGUUUGCUAAGACAGGUGUGAAAUCCCCGGGCUUAACCUGGGAACUGCGCUUGUGACUGGCAGGCUAGAGUACGGCAGAGGGGGGUGGAAUUCCUGGUGUAGCAGUGAAAUGAGUAGAUAUCAGGAGGAACACCGAUGGCGAAGGCAGCCCCCUGGGCCUGUACUGACGCUCAUGCACGAAAGCGUGGGGAGCAAACAGGAUUAGA
rnacentral:rRNA from 1 species